UGUCAGCAUCAGUUGGGAGAGCGUUAGACUAUAGAUCGAAAAGUUCCUGGUUCGAUCCCGGGUUCCGGCAA
rnacentral:tRNA from 1 species